GUCUUUUUGAUAAUAAUAUAAAGUCUGACCUGCCCAAUGAGGAUUUAAAUGGCCGCGGUAUUUUGACCGUGCAAAGGUAGCAUAAUAAUUAGUUUUUUAAUUGAAAGCUGGAAUGAAUGGUUGGACGAGAAAAUAGCUGUCUCAGAUUAAUUUAAUUAGAAUUUUAUUUUUAAGUAAAAAAGCUUAAAUUUUUUUAAAAGACGAGAAGACCCUAUAGAGCUUUAUAUAUUUAUAAUUAAACACAAUUUAGUAUAAUCAAGUUUUUAUUUUUAAAUAUAUUUUAUUGGGGUGAUAAAAAAAUUAAUAAAACUUUUUUUUUAUAUUAACAUUAAUUUAUGAAUUAUUGAUCCAUUUUUUAUGAUUAAAAGAUUAAGUUACCUUAGGGAUAACAGCGUAAUUUUUUUUUAGAGUUCUUAUCGAAAAAAGAGAUUGCGACCUCGAUGUUGGAUUAAAAUUAAUGUUUGGUGUAGAAGCUAAAUAAUUAGGUCUGUUCGACCUUUGAAAUUUUACAUGAUCUGAGUUUAAACCGGUGUAAGCCAGGUUGGUUUCUAUCUUUAAAUAAUUAAAAUAUUUUAGUACGAAAGGACCAAAUAUUUAUAAAAUUUAUUUAAUUUUGAAUAAUAUUAA
rnacentral:rRNA from 1 species